rnacentral:rRNA from 1 species
AACGCUGGCGGCGUGCUUAAUACAUGCAAGUCGGACGGAGAUUGCAGCGAUGUAAUCUUAGUGGCGAACGGGUGAGUAACGCGUUGGUGACCUGCCCUAAAACGAGGGAUAACAGUUCGAAAGGACUGCUAAUACCGCAUGAGGUCUUGGUAGUUAGAGAGCCAAGACGAAAGGAGCGAUCCGUUUUAGGAGGGACCUGCGUCCCAUCAGCUAGUUGGUGAGGUAACGGCCCACCAAGGCGACGACGGGUAGGGGGCCUGAGAGGGUGAUCCCCCACACUGGCACUGAAACACGGGCCAGACACCUACGGGUGGCAGCAGUAGGGAAUAUUGCACAAUGGGCGCAAGCCUGAUGCAGCAACGCCGCGUGCACGAUGAAGGCCUUCGGGUCGUAAAGUGCUUUUCGGGGAGACGAGGAAGGACGGUAUCCCCGGAAUAAGGAUC